CCGCUUGCUCGCCGGAGAUAUGGCUAAGGACGACGGCCCGGCGGAGACGGUGGAGGAGAAGGCGGCGGCGCCGGUUCUGCGGUCGUUCGCGUCAGUGUUCGUGCACGCAGAUGCGGCGGACGUGGCGCUGAUGGUGCUGGGCCUGGUGGGCGCCAUGGGCGACGGCAUGUCGACGCCGGUGAUGCUGGCCAUCACCAGCCGCGUCUUCGACGACACCGGCAGCGGCCCUGAUCACCUCCAGCAGUUCAGGUCCAAGAUGAACGAGAACGUGAGGAACACCCUCUUCCUGGCCGCCGCGCACUGGAUGGCGGCGUUCCUAGAGGCGUUUUGCUGGACGCGGACGGCGGAACGGCAGUCGUCGCGGAUGCGGGCACGGUACCUGAGGGCAGUGCUCCGGCAGGACGUGGAGUACUUUGACCUCAACGUGGGCUCGACGUCGGAGGUGGUUACCGGCGUCUCCGGCGACACCCUCGUCGUGCAGGACGCGCUGAGCGAGAAGGUGCCCAACUUCGUGAUGAACGUCACCAUGUUCGUUGCCAGCUACGCCGUCGCUUUCGCGCUGCUGUGGCGCCUCACGCUGGUGUCGCUGCCGUCCGUGCUGCUGCUCAUCGUCCCCGGCUUCCUGUACGGCCGCGUCCAGGUCGGCCUGGCGCGACGGAUGCGGGAGCUGUACGCGCGCCCGGGCGCCAUCGCCGAGCAGGCCAUGUCGUCGGUGCGCACCGUGCACUCGUUCGUCGCGGAGAGGGCCACCGCGGCGCGGUUCUCCGCCGCGCUGGAGGAGUCGGUGCGGCUCGGGCUCAGGCAGGGGCUCGCCAAGGGCCUUGCCGUCGGCAGCGGCGGCAUCCGCAUCGCCAUCUUUGCCUUCAAUGUUUGGUACGGCAGCCGCCUCGUCAUGUACCAUGGCUACAAGGGCGGCACCGUCUACAUCGUCUCCGUCAUCAUCGUCGUCGGAGGCGGAGCGUUGGGGUCGGCGUUGUCAAACAUCAAGUACCUAACGGAGGCGAGCUCGGCGGCGGAGAGGAUCAUGGAGCUGAUCAGGCGGGUGCCCAAGAUAGACUCAGAGAGUGGCGCCGGCGAGGUGCUGGAGAACGUCGCCGGUGAGGUGGACUUCAGGAACGUGGCGUUCUGCUACCCGUCGCGACCGAAGAGCCCCGUCUUCGUGAACUUCAGCCUGCACGUGCCGGCCGGACGCUCGGUGGCCCUGGUGGGUGCCAGUGGCUCAGGGAAGUCGACGGUGAUCGCGCUGCUGGAGCGCUUCUACGACCCGUCGGCCGGGGAGGUGACCCUCGACGGCGUGGACAUCCGGCGGCUUCAGCUCAAGUGGUUGCGCGCGCAGAUGGGGCUCGUCAGCCAGGAGCCGGCGCUGUUCGCGACGUCGAUCAGGGAGAACAUAAAGUUUGGCAAGGAGGACGCCACGGAGGAGGAGAUCACGGCUGCGGCGAAGGCGGCCAACGCCCACAGCUUCAUCUCGCAGUUGCCGCGGGGCUACGACACGCAGGUGGGCGAGCGUGGUAUUCAAAUGUCUGGAGGACAGAAGCAAAGGAUCGCUAUUGCUAGAGCAAUCCUAAAAUCACCCAAGAUCCUCCUCCUUGACGAAGCCACUAGUGCAUUGGACAGCAGUUCAGAGCGUGUUGUGCAGGAGGCGCUUGAAUUGGCCUCCAUGGGCCGAACUACUAUUGUCGUUGCACAUCGUCUCUCCACAAUCCGCAACGCUGAUAUGAUUGUUGUCAUGCAGUCUGGCGAGGUGAAGGAGUUAGGGUCCCAUUAUGAGCUCAAUGCACAAGAGAAUGGCAUAUACUCAUCUCUUGUCCGCCUUCAGCAAACCACAGAUGUGGAAAUGACCGAGCAGGUUGGCAAAAUUGGAAAUACAAAUAUUUUGCAGCAAUCAAGCAAUCAAAUUAUGAGCAAGGGUUUCUCUGUAGCAAGUAGGUCAAGCUCAACUCGUUCAAUGGGUGAUGCAAAAGAUGAUGGUAACUCAGAGAAUUCAAAGCUUCCUGUGCCAUCGUUCAGGAGGCUACUUAUGCUUAAUGCGCCAGAGCUGAAGCAGGCAUCAAUAGGAAUCUUCAGUGCAAUUGUGUCUGGAGGCAUACAGCCUAUGUUUGCCUAUGCCAUGGGCAGCGUGACCUCGAUCUUCUUCUCGACAGAUCAUCAAGAGAUCAAGAAGGAAACAAGGACCUACACACUUGUCUCUGCCGGCCUUGCAGUGCUGACAUUCCUUAUCAGUAUUGGGCAAUAUUACAACUUUGCUGCCAUGGGAGAAUAUCUCACCAAGAGGAUCAGGGAACAGAUGCUCGCUAAAUUUCUCACUUUCGAGAUUGGUUGGUUUGAUCGUGAUGAGAAUUCUAGUGGUUCCAUAUGCUCACAACUUACCCACGACGCCAACAUUGUGAGGUCACUAGUGGGUGACCGGAUGUCUCUAGUGACCCAGACAGUUUCUGCUGUUCUAACCGCCUACAUCAUGGGUUUGGUGAUUGCUUGGCGUCUAGCUCUUGUGAUGAUUGCAGUCCAGCCUCUUGACAUUACAUGCUUUUACACUCGCCAUGUCUUACUAAAGAGGAUGUCCAAGAAAUCAACACAGGCACAAUCUGAAUGUAGUAAGCUAGCUGCCGGGGCCGUCUCUAAUCUCCGAGCCAUAACGGCUUUCUCAUCCCAGGGCCGCAUCCUGCACCUCCUUGACCAAGCACAAGAUGGUCCACGCAAGGAAAGCAUCCGACAAUCAUGGUUUGCAGGUUUAGGCCUCGGUACCUCCAUGAGCCUUUUGAGAUGCACAUGGGCACUCACCUUCUGGUACAGUGGAAUUCUCAUAGCUGGUCACCAUAUUACUGCGAAGGCCUUUUUCCAAACCUUUUUGAUUCUAGUAAGCACAAGUCUUGUGAUUGCAGACGCGGGUAGUGUUACUGCAGAUCUUGCUAAGGGUGCUAAUGCAGUCGCUUCGGUGUUUGCUGUUCUUGAUCGAGAGACAUUAAUUGAUCCAGACAACCCUGUGGGAUAUAAACCAGAGAAGCUCAAAGGCGAGGUGAACAUUAGAGGAGUUGAUUUUGCAUAUCCAUCAAGACCUGAUGUGAUCAUCUUCAAAGGAUUCUCCUUGAGCAUCCAACAAGGCAAGUCAACGGCACUUGUUGGGCAAAGUGGUUCAGGCAAGUCAACCAUCAUUGGGUUUAUAGAGAGGUUUUAUGACCCAAUUAACGGGGUAGUAGAGAUCGAUGGUAAAGAUAUUAAAACAUAUAAUCUUCGAGCCCUACGCCAGCAUAUUGGGCUGGUGAGCCAAGAGCCAACACUAUUUGCAGGUACCAUCAGAGAGAACAUUAUGUAUGGCAGAGAAACAGCUAGUGUGGAAGAAAUUGAGGAUGCAGCAAGGUCUGCAAAUGCACAUGACUUCAUUAGCAACCUGAAGGAUGGAUAUAACACAAGGUGCGGAGAUCAAGGUGUUCUACUAUCGGGAGGGCAGAAGCAGCGCAUCGCUAUUGCUCGUGCAAUUCUGAAGAAUCCUGCCAUAUUGCUUCUAGAUGAAGCCACAAGUGCAUUGGACAGCCAGUCCGAGAAGGUGGUGCAAGAGGCAUUGAGCCGAAUGUUGGUCGGUAGGACAAGUGUUGUGGUGGCUCAUAGGUUGAGCACUAUUCAGAAUUGUAACAUGAUCGUUGUGCUUGAGAAAGGAAUUGUUGUGGAGACAGGAUCACAUGAAUCCCUCAUUGCGAAGGGUCCUGCUGGAACAUACUUUGGAUUGGUCAAUAUGCAGCAAGGAAGCAACCACACCAGCAGUUCUGUGAUUGGGAAUAAAAACCCAUAGUUCCAUACUAGCAGCCUAGUUAAAAUAAGUCACCAGUUUGGAUUAAUCAGAAACCAAGACUGCUAUUCAAACUAAUAAAAUUUCCUUCAGCGAUGGGCUAUCCCCUAAUGCUCUAUCAAAUUCGACGGCCGGCGUGGCUUCUUGGGCGGCAAAGGCAAAGGGCUCGGCACCUCAUCGUCGUCGCCCCGCCGCCUCACGCCGGGAAAUCCAAUCUCCGGGACCAGGGGCGCCAGGUUCAGGUCAAACCCACCGACCGCGCUCGGCACCGCACCGCUGGGCAGCGACGCCGACACCGACGGCCCGUGCAGGUAGUGGAACCUCUUGUGCCCGCCGAGCGCCUGCCCGGUGUCGAAUCCCCUGCGGCACACCGUGCAGACGUGCCGCCCGGCGCCGCCGCUCCCGGACGCCGAUGAUGCCUCCGCGGUUGCUUCCUUCUGAUGGAACAAUGGCGCCGCGCCACCACCCGCGGGCAGCUUGCGGUGGCUCGCCUUGUGCCCCCCGAGCGCCUGGUACGACGCGAACGCCUUGCCGCAGAGGGGGCACCGGAAGUGGAGCGGAAGCUCGGUCGAUGACGCCGCCGCGGACGAUAAUGGCGCUGCCACGUCGUGUGGCCGGCGCGGCGCCGUCGCGCCGGCUUGCUGGCACGCGGCGGCGAGCGCCAUGAGGCACAGGGACAGGUACUCGUCUUGGUCCAUUUUUCGCGCUAUCGUUCGAGCUCCUGCUGUGACGAUCUGCGAGGACGGCGAUUGCUUGCGCUGCAUCGCGGCACCCGCGGUUACUUAUAGACCGACAUGGCGGCGCGCCGUGCAUGGUCGCGUCAAAGGAGCACGAGGGCGGAGCCGGCGCGGAAGGCGAGCACGAAGCGGCAGGCUUGGAAAGUGGAACCGAUCUCUGUUGGGGCGGCACACGCGCGCGUGCAUUUGGACCCGUGGGGCCUGGUCUUUCACUUGGUCCGAAUUCGGCAUCAACUUGCAAUUUGUCUAAGCAAAUUUGAGCAACUUUUGUGCACAGAAGCUCGCAUUUUCUGUGUCUUUCAGGGGUAAAGAAAUCGACUACGUGGUGCUAAACAUUCUAGAACAAUGAUUGAUACCUGGACGGCUGGGCACCUGCACGUUUACCAUGCGUACCUGUCGCCGAAUCACACGAGGCCAUGGUUUUUGAAGAAGUCGUGUCUAGUCUUGCGUCCGGUCUCGACGGACAGGCACGGUCCGGACGGGGAAGUUAUAGGUCGCCUGUGCUGCAAAUCAAUUAUCCAUCAUCUGAAAGAUCAAUCAAUAUUACCCAUUCGGCCUAA